rnacentral:rRNA from 1 species
ACGAACGCUGGCGGCGUGCUUCACCCCUGCAAGUUGAACGGAAAGGCCCAGCUUGCUGGGUACUCGAGUGGCGAACGGGUGAGUAACACGUGGGUGAUCUGCCCUGCACUCUGGGAUAAGCCUGGGAAACUGGGUCUAAUACCGGAUAUGACCGACUGUCGCAUGGUGGUUGGUGGAAAGCUUUUGCGGUGUGGGAUGGGCCCGCGGCCUAUCAGCUUGUUGGUGGGGUAAUGGCCUACCAAGGCGACGACGGGUAGCCGACCUGAGAGGGUGAUCGGCCACACUGGGACUGAGACACGGCCCAGACUCCUACGGGAGGCAGCAGUGGGGAAUAUUGCACAAUGGGCGCAAGCCUGAUGCAGCGACGCCGCGUGAGGGAUGACGGCCUUCGGGUUGUAAACCUCUUUCACCAGGGACGAAGCGUGAGUGACGGUACCUGGAGAAGAAGCACCGGCCAACUACGUG